UUAAUAAGGUACAGUUUGAGAAGCUUGGGGUUAUCGGGAGUAUUUUGGAAAAAUUACAACUGAUUUAACCAAACACACGUAGUAUUCUUGUUUUUCCCGGUUUUGACACGUACAAACGCUUAGUGCAUACGCUAGUUCUUCCUCCAGAUUUUCACAGUUGCUCAAUUCCUCUUCCAGUUUUGCUCUUGGAAAAUGGGGAAUUUCCCUUUUUUCCCCCGAUUUCCCCUAGAAUUUUUGUAAAUUAACAUAGGCAUCCGAUCUCAGACCUUAUUGUCCAACGAUUUCACUUUUCUCUCUGGAUCUAAACUCUAUGCUGUGACAAGAUAGUUCCAUCACAAAUCUCUUGUUCAACUUGAAAGAAUUUCUGCCGGAGUGAGAGUAGCGACUGCAUUACUUAGAAUUUUAGCUGCUAUUGGAUUUUGUUAUUUUUUUUCAAGAUACGGCAGAAGAAGAAAAGGGAAGAGCAGCAAGCUCGCGUCCUAAAGCUCUUUGAUGAAGAUGAUGAUCUAAUGUUGAGCUUGGUAUUCGGGAUUGAGAUUAUAUAUUCUCCUUCUAUAACACAGUGCAUUUUAGCAGAGCACCUAUUACAUGCUGCGAUCGUAUAUAACUCGAGCAGAGAAGGAGAGAACUGAGAAAGAUGUGAAAGCUAUACAGCAAAAGGAGAACGGACAUGGCUGACAGCCUCAAACAAUCACAUCGGAAGACAACAUUGAGUAAGAUGAAGAGGCUGGAACUCCUGAGAUGCAAGUUGAUAAGAUGCAUCAAGACAAAGAAGAAAUACAUGUCGUUAACUAAUCAUCAAGAUAUAAGACUUUGUUUUUACAAGUUUGGAGAGGCUUAUAAGGCUGCUGAUGUUUUUCACGGGCGUGAUGGCUAUGAUUUUGAUGGGCAUUGCUUGACGAUUUUAGUUUAGUGUUGCUACAAAUGGAUUCAAUGACGUGUAAGAAUAUAAUGCAUGUGUCUUACAUGAAAUACACCGGAAACCAUUCUUUGUGUUCAUAUUUGAUCAUUGUUCAUUCCUGUGUCGGAAUGUGUAUCUGGUUUAGGUUUUUUUCUGACUUUCUAGGGGUACGGGUAAUAUUUUGGGAACUUUUUUCGGUCGACUUUGCAUACAGAAACCUACACAAUGUUUGUAAUGAUUGGAAUCACCUAGACAAUCUAUAUAGCCAUGUCAUCAAAGAUGAAUAGGACUAUAGGAUUCAACUCUACUUCAUGCUUCUAAAUUCAGUUGAAAGUUGUGAUUACGUUCAAGGAUAAAGUCUUGUUUGAACUUUUUGAUAUGUCUAUGGGAGAACUUUCAUUAUUAAUAAAUAGUGUUUCUAGAAUAUUUCAUUGAGCUUGUUAAUAGACUAUUAAGCUAUUUAUGCUUGAAUCACGUUAGCAAAUAUCGAUUCAAUUAGCUAAUGACUGAUACUGUAGUUGUUCUUUUUGAUUCGUUUUGCACUAGACAUUAUCAUUGCUGAAUGUAUACUAACAAGGUCAGUAUGCUAAAUUAGUUGUCCUCACUAAUGCCAAAAGAGUGGGUUAUUCAUUGAAAUCGAAAUUCAUUGCCUUUCUGGUUUCUUAUUUCGUUAAGUGGGCUGCAUUGAUUUCUGAUGGCUUUUUCAUAAUUUUUUAUGCUCUGGUGGUACAAGUAAUCACAGUUCAGCAACACUUUCAUGUUCAAUAGUGCACCGUCUGCAUUUUAUUUUAAUAAUUAAUAAGCUAAAGCUAAAAUGUUUGAUGGUGAGAGUGGAGAUACAUUUUCAAUAUUUUCAUUUCUUAAUAUAAUGAUAUGAUUAUAAAGUAAGUAGCAAGAAGUAGUAUAAAUAUUGUAUAUAGCUAUUUUAAUAUUUAUGGCACUAACUUUUAUUCAUCUAACUAUUUACUUUGAUCUAGAUUUAGUGAGUAAUGGCUUAUUGUUGUAGAAUUUUAAAACCAAAGAGUUCAAACAUUUUGAUUCAAUGUAAUUGUAACAACAACUCCUAAAAAAUUGUUGGUUUCUUUACAACUAUGUUUACAAGACUCAAAUGUUUAAUUUCAGCAGCAUGUACACAGGUGUGUUUGUCUGCUAUGGUCGUCAUCCUGAUGUGAGAAACACUUGCACCUGAUGGGCAACGAAGGAUGAUCACUUUUAAAGAAUAACAAGCGCAACAAGAUUAUUGGCUAUUUGAGUGAGAUGUAUAGUUACUGUGCUGCCUUUGUCGUCUAUUAUAUAACAAGAAAAAUUAUUCACAUUUCCAACUUCAUACUCUUUCCUUUGAGCAUGUUACCAUUGUUAAAAAAAUUAUUCUUUUGCCCAAUUA